rnacentral:lncRNA from 1 species
AUCAAUUCAUUUAUAAUACAAUAAUUGGUUUUUUUUUUUUUUUUUUUUUUUUUUUUUUUUUUUUUUUUUUUUUUUGAGAUGGAGUCUCGCUUUGUUGCCCAGGCUGGAGAGCAGUGGCGCGAUCACGGCUCACUGCGAGCUCCGCCUCCCGGGUUCACGCCAUUCUCCUGCCUCAGCCUCCCAAAGUGCUGGGAUUACAGGAGCCACUAGAAAUUGAUGCUGGGUAUAGGGUAAUCCCUCAAAAAUAAUAUAACUUAUAAAACUGAAUAAAAACAAAAAUGGAUGUCAAUUUUCAUAGUGACAGGGACUGACCAAAGGCAUAUUUUCACAGACUUUGUCCAAAUGUAUCAAAGAGCAUUUUAAAGUAUUAAAUUGGGUUCUUCCCUUACUAGUAAUGAAAAUGCAUAAUUUUAUUUAUAAUUAACAAGUGUAAAAAGUUGUUCAAGAUUGAAAAACUGAAAAACUUGCAGAGAAAUAAGGGAAUAAAAUAGAGCCACGUAUAUCUAUUACCUCGUUAAGGGGAAAUAUUUCAUCUGGAAGAUCAAUCCAAACAAUAACUUCUAAAAACUAAAUGCUUAAUUACAUACCAAUAAGAAUCAAUUUUGG